AAUCGUGAGGCCUUGAGAGAGAGUAUCUCAGAGCGGUGGGCAUGGGAAUAUGGAGGAAAGCCUAGAUUUCUUGGCCACUUAAUUUAGGAGCAAAGAUUGUUUUGUGUUUUCCUGAUGCCUCCCAUGCCUAUUGUUCUUAGGUAUUCCUUUCUUUUCCUAUUUGCU
rnacentral:pre_miRNA from 1 species